AAGGUAUUUAUGGGCUAUAUGCUCUAAAGAAAGUUCUCUUUGGGUUCAAUGGUGCAGCCAUUAUAUCAUAAAAGGCAUGUGCUUUUGGGCUAUGAAGGAGCCUUCUGACUGUUCUUGGACUUGGAAGAAGGUUUUAUCAGAUUGCUAGAUUGUUUGGAAGGCAAAAAAUUGGUGAUGGCAAAGACUUUUCUUUGGUUUGAUAAUUGAUAUCCAAUUGGCCCCUGAAUUGAUGCUUAUGGACCUAGAAUUGCCUAUGACUCAGGUACUUCUCCGCUAGCUAAAUUCUCUGAUAUCAUUUCUAAUGGGAUGUGGAGACGGCCCUCCAGUACUGUCAGAUAUGGCUCUCUAUUGGAUUUAAAGUGACCUUACCCAAUAUCAUUUGCCUCUCUCUCCAAAAUACCUCAAGGCCUCAUAAAAUAGACUGAACAAGUUUCUCGAACUGUGUAUUCUCUGCUUCAGCUACCUAGGAAGCUCUUUAGGCCACACCGUUCUGUGUUUCCUUGGCACAAACUGGUUUAGUUCUCAAGCUGCAUUGCUUGACAUCGUCUUAUUUUCUAGCUGGCCAUUAAAGUGAGACUUUAUACCAGGAGUAAGCUUAAAGAGUGGGGAGUGAUUGAGGAUGCUGCUUGUGUUCUUUGUGGUCUAGGUGAUGAAGAUAUCCUUAACUUGUUCUUUGACUGCUCUUUUUCCAGGCUCAUUUCAAAUUUAUCUUCUCUUUGUCGCAUUUCUAAGCCUAGUCAGUGCUGGCAUAAUGACAGGAGAUGCAUUACUGGGGCAAUUAGUAGCAAACCAUUAGCAAUAUCAUCAGUUGCUUGGCUGGGCUUUUAUGGUUUAUUACAUUUGGAGUUUGUUUGGCAUCUCUUAAAUAAACACUUAUUUGGGUCACAUUCUCUCUCUACUUUUCUGCACAUCUUUUCAUAAAAAAUAAAAAAAGUGCAAUUAUUUAGAUCAUUCCAAACAACCUCUUUGAAUGAUAGGAAUCACAGUUUUUCAAGGCACCCAUAGCCCACCUAAUUAGCUGCUUAAUUCUUUUAGGCAUGAUGUUCGCAUUAAGGCCUCUCAGUUUCACUCUAUUGUAGCUUCUUCUCUAUAUUUGGUUAUUUUUAGCAUUAGGCUUAUCCCACAUAGUGUUUUCAGAGCUUAGACUUGUUCUAUGUAGUUGUGGAGCCUUGCUGUUGUUUUGUGAGUUAUAUCCUAGUGAUUUCUGUAUUUUUUUUGCAGUUAAUAAUAUUCUCACUUAACAAAAAGUUCCCACUGGUCCCACCACCACUACCACCACAACUACUCACACCUUUAUUACCCAUCUUAAAUCUCCGUGAAGUAUUCCAAUUUCCAAGUCAGAGACUCACAAACUUUGCAAUUUUCUUUACUUUACCUUUUGUUCAAGUCAGCAACAUUUGUUUUUUACUGUAAUACUUCGAAACCUAAGUCCAACCAUGUGCUUUACUAAUCCCUUCCAUGAUACAAUUCAAAUUAUGCAAAUAUCGUGUCAAUACUGACCAAUAAUACUCUAAUGUAAUCACACUAAAUCUUAUUUUCAUUUGAGAAAGAUUUGUAGUGUUUGGUUCAUUGGAAUGAGGCUGAAUGGAAUGGUCAUUACUUAGCCUCUCUAUGGGAUGGUCAUUUCCUUACGAUGGGGAAUGAUGAUUUCAUUUGCAAUGCAUUUUUCAUUAGUUUUUAGUAUACCAACAUGAGAAUGGACAUUCUGAUGACAUGAUCAUUCCAUUUCACUUCAUUCUAGUAAAACUAACACUAUCUUAUAGUUUGACGUUAUUUCUGUUUGCAACCAAAAGGAAUUGUCAAAAUUAUACUCCUAAUUAUGGAUUUUUAUUCAAUGCAAAUUAUGCACACACAUCGCAUGUGUUACGACUUGUAGUCUACAUAUACUUCUGGCGAUGCAAUAUCAUCUUAGCCUGUUUUCUCCCCUCCUUUUUCCUCUCAAUACUUUCCCUUUAUUUGGACCCCCUGCACAUCUGUUUUUUAUUUUUAAAUUUCUCAUGCAAUUGGUGCUAAACAGGUUAGUGAAGAAGUGGAGCGUGCUUUGGCAAAGUUAGGCCCUGCUAGAGUUAAUGGAAGGUCUGAGACAUAUUUGAUUAUUUAUAAAAUUGUGGUAGAUUCUGUAAAAUACAGAUAAUUUAUUUUUCCACUAUAUUGGUAUUUUGUUACUUUUAAUGCUUGCAUGUUCUUUUUGACAUAAUGAUGCUUGAGAUCACAUUGGUUGCAGUAGGAUCACUAAUAAGGGUAGGGGUGUUCAAAAAACCGAAUCACUUGUAGACCCACUUGAACCCGCCUGACCCGUGCAUGCCACGGACGGUUUCGCAGGACAAUUUGAUUGGCAGCGGUUGAAUUUCGUAGAAAAAAUCUGAAUUCCGGUUGGCUGUUAGAUGUAAUAAAAAAAUAUUGGUCUAACCCGAUCCGACUGACAUAUAUAUAAUAAAUUAAUAUUAUUUUAAUUGUUCAGCAUGUUUGACUCACCUAGAUAAACUAAAAACGCAUUAUCUCAAUUCUUUUUUUCCCAAGACCAUUUAUAUAUUCCUAAGACAAAACUUAUCCUUUCCAAGUCAGAGUUGUAUUACAACUCAACUCACCAACUCCCUUGUCAACCAAUUCUCAUCUUUUUCAAGCGUGCGGUAUACACCAUCAACAAAUCUGAGGCAUAUAUACAAAUAUAUGUUUUCCAAGGCAAUGUCAAUCUUCCCAAGAAAAGUGUAUUCCUCAGUUCUUACGUCUCUAUCUUUCUCUCUCUCUCACAGAUCUGACAACUCAUUUGUUCUUGUGGCUUCCUCUCUCUCAGUCCUUUCAACUUCUCUUUCUGCCAAACCUUUCAUCUCCAUAUCUCUUUGUCUCUUAAUCCUUUCGUCUCACUCCCUCACCCACUCCCCUCCCUUACCCUUCUCUCUCUCUCUCUCUUUCUCUCUUUAUCGCUCGCUCGCUCUCUCUCUCUCUCUCGUUGAGAGACAGACUCAUCUCCCACUCUCUUCCUCAUCUUUGCUUCUCUUUCUUUUUUCCUUUCCUUUUUCUUCCGAUGGUGAUGGGGUGAUGGCAGGGGCGGAUGAGGUCAAUUUCCGUUUGACUAAGGCUUUUAAAAAAUCAUAAAAGACAAAAUAGACUAAAUAAGCCAAUAAGACAAAAUGUCACAUCCAAACUAUAACCAUGUUAUUUUUUCUCUCACAAAAGUCAAAAAAGCCAA